rnacentral:miRNA from 1 species
AGGGUUAUCGAGAGGCAUCAAUG